UCUCUGACAACUUAUCAAGUUUGCAUCUUUAUCUGCUCUAUUCAUGAUGGCUAAUACUAUUGCUAGAGAUAUAGGUUUGUCCUUCUGUUUUCCUGAUAUUGUUGACCAAUUGCCAAAUUAUCAAGAAUGAAGGAAAGCUUGUGCCUUUAUAUUAGAAACAGAAGUACUGGUCACAAAAAACUACACCCUUCUUCUACUUUGUUCUCUGCAACCUUUCGUGCUAAAGAAAAACUUCUGAUUUAGCAUGCACGAUUUCUAGCAAGUAGUUGUUUCAAUUUCAGCUCCGUUCACCAAUUCAGCAUAUUUGGGGUUGAUGGAUUCAUGCUAAGGAAUUGCUUUACUUCAAGAUGGCUAGCUGCCAUGGAAGCAAUCAUUCUACUGAAAGCAAUUUUUACAUUUUCUUCUCUGUUGUACAAAUGUUCCUUUUCUUUCAUGUAAAAAAUAAUAUUAUAAGCAGAAGGUGAAUAAAUGUAAUCCCCAGAAACUGGUAUCUUUAUUGUAAAGGUGUAUGAAUUUUGUACUUUUUAAAUGGAAAGGAUAUUAUGUAAUUUCAUUUAAGAAGUAAGGUUCUACCUUUGCUUCUUUAUUCU